UCAUUUCCUUGUUGAUGGAAAAAGUUACACUCCAACUAAAUGAUCUUGGGUAAAAAUUUCAGGGUGCAUGUUUUUUGCUUGUUGAUCGUUGUAGGUUUUUUUAUUGACUCAAGGAAUGGAAAGGUUGUUUAUCCUUUGUGUGUACAUGUGGACUACCCAUUUGCAUCAGUGUGACAUCCUGAUGGCCUAACGUUUGCAACUAUUAACCAGGAUAAAACCUGUAAAUUAUGACAUCCUAAUGGCCUAACGUUUGCAACUAUUAACCAGGAUAAAACCUGCAAAAUAUGGGAUAUUCGGAACAUUUCCAAGUCAGUCACUACUUUGAAGGGUAACCUUGGAGCUAUUCGAACAAUCUGCUACAUGUCUGAUGGCAUAUUUAUGGGUAUGACAGAGCCUGUAAAAUUUGUCCACAUUUUUAUGCAAAAUAUGGAAAUCAUAAUAUAAACAAGUACC
rnacentral:lncRNA from 1 species